rnacentral:rRNA from 1 species
GACGAACCGUCCAAACGUUAUUCGGAAUCACUGGGCUUACAGAGUUCGUAGGCGGUCUGGAAAGUUGGGUGUGAAAUCCCUCGGCUCAACCGAGGAACUGCGCUCAAAACUACCCGACUCGAGGGAGAUAGAGGAAAGCGGAACUGAUGGUGGAGCGGUGAAAUGCGUUGAUAUCAUCAGGAACACCGGUGGCGAAGGCGGCUUUCUGGGUCUUACCUGACGCUGAGGAACGGAAAGCUAGGGGAGCGAACGGG